UAGUCUGUGCGCCGGUCACGACUUAGGUUUUCGGGUCGUGACAAAGUUGGUAUCAGAGCUUUGGCUGUAGGUCCUAUUAGCUGCAGACAUGAGGUAGUGAUAGAAUCUUUUUAGUAAAUUGUGAACCGCGACACCAUUUACUUUAAAGAUGCUAUUAACACCUCAUGAGAGUCCUAAAGUUGUUUUCAAGUGUGAUUUGAGUUCGCUCCUCAUUCACUGUAUUCCGAGUCAUGUCAUUUAUUCCAUGAAUAUUCUUUGUUUAGUGAGGAUGUCACCUAAAUUAGGAUUUUUAUCAUAAGAUGAGUUAACUUAUUAGGACCCUCUUUUAGGAGGCCGUGGUCGGCGUUGUGGUUUAGGCCAAGGACCAUUGCCUGUAGGCGCUAGUUGUUUGCUGUUGUAGCCCAUAUUAACGUGCUUAUAUUGAGGUUAUGAAAUUCAGGGAUGUUAGAGCUUACGGUUGGUACAAAGGAAUUUUAACAUGAUUUGAAAUAACGUGUUGGAGUGGUUGUUGGACAGCAACAAGGGAGCCCACAUGAGAAAAAAUUUACGAGCGUCAGCUAGAGGUUAGAUAGAGGAAAGUAACAAGAAGUAAGUGCCACUGGACAGAUUGAGGUCAUAUUAACUGGUCACAUACAACUUAAAUCUCCUAAUUUUCUAGUACUAGUGCAAGGCCGAAUCUAUAAAGGUUUAGUAAUGCUUUGGAGAAGCUAUAGAGAGCAUUUAGAUGCUCACCCUUAAGGGCGGUAAAGUUAACAUCAUUCAGUUGGAGGAUUGUAGCACAUGAUUGAUCUAAUGACUUUAUGGUACGUGAGCGAUUGGAUCGCCUCUGAUAACGUGGAUGAAUUUCCUAGAAACUCAUAAAUCGUUUACUUCUAAAUUGUUAGAUAUGACUUGGCUUAUAAGUUUGAACUGCUGGAGAAAAUUGAUAAUAAUUACUCUCUAGAGUAAUCAUAGUAUAUAAUCUUAAAGCUUUAUGUAGAGUCAUAGACUAGAUUUAAGGGGCCCUUACGAUCCACUUUUCCUCAAAUGCAUUUUUGCAUGAGAUCUACACCUUAUUUUGCUUGUCAAAAGAUCAUAAUGUAGCUUUCUUUGGAGAUAGAGAGGUGUAAUAGUAGUGCAGUCAGACAAGUCAUAUUGUGGAGGAUUGUCUAGUGGUGGUUGUGCAACUUCCUUUGGUCAUGAGUAAGUGUUAGUAGAAGCAGAUUUGGCAUCUUCUUUAACCCCUACAACACUUGUAGACAAGCUAUGAGUUCUUUUCGCCGAGGUCGUGCAGUAUCUAAAAAUAAUGGUAAAUGAAACAGUAGUCGAUGUUAACGACAUGUAAGGAGAGUUGAGCUCGAGUCUUUAUUUUGACCCAUCAAGAUGUUUAGGCAACCAAGGAAGUGGCAGUAAGUAUACUCCCUAUAUGAUAUUGAGAUGAUUAUGUUUUGCUUAGUGCUAAAGAUAUAUACUCUUUUAUCAUUGUUGUCAGCUUAGUGAAUUAUCUUCUUUCAUGAAUAAGAUGUUGGUCAUUGCUGAACCUCUUGGAGAGUAUUUGAUAGUUGAGUUUGUGAACCAUUAUUUUUAAGGUAUCCACUGGAGAUCGAUUGAGAGUUGUUGAUAGUCGUUACAGCUUAAGACAUAAUUGAUUUUAAUGUGAUCUUUGGAUAUAGAUUGGAUAAUCUUUUGUCAAUGAUACUUUGGACUGUCAUAAAUAGGGUAGUGAGAUUUAAAGUACAGCGAGAGUAAUUUUUCUCAUUUCCGGGAGAGUGAAGUUGGACACCUCAUAAUCCAGUUUCAGCAUUAAAAGUUAACAAGUUACUACUGAAGAGUUGUAGGUGACAAUUGAUUUUGGUAAGAGAUACUCAAUUAGCGAAAUUGAAACUAGAAGAGAUUUUUGUAGUGUGUUUUGCAGAAUGUAUUCCUUAGAGAAUUUUCGGGUGUACCUUGCAAUAAAGGGAUUGAGUUUUCCAUAUAGUUAGUUUCUAAACCAGAUUUACUGUGAAGAAGAGAGUCAAGACUAUGUAGUUAUGUGUAGAUUACAAGCAAAUGGAGAAUAUGAUGGUAUAAAAAAAAAGACUUAGUGAUCUAGGUACCAUAAAUGGAAUAUUAAGAAAGAGAAUUUCGAAGACCACCUACAAAACAUGUUAUGACUGUAAUGGGUUGUUAGUCAUGCCUUUAGACUUAGUGAUGCCAACGCUGUUUUAAGAAUUCAAUGAACCGCAUCUUUAAGUCAUUCUUUUAGCACUUUGUGAUUGUGUUUAUUGAAGGUAUUCUUGUUCGUUCUGAGGAUAAAGAAGAGCACUAUAAGCUUGCUAAUAGAAGGGUUAUGUUUGGGAUUGUCCAUCCCGAAGGAUUGUCGACUUUUGUGCAGAUUCAUUUUAAUUUGGUUGGUGAUUGGGUUGAUGAUGUUAAACAUGAUCAAGGUCGAGAUUCAUAGGUGGUGAAGAUGGUAGAGGAAUUUUGAAGUGAAAAGGUUCCACAUUUUCGGUAGAAUCUGAUGACAUUUUAUGACUUGAAUGAUAGUUGUGUGUGCCUAAUACAAUAGUUUGGGAAGGAAAAUAUGAGAGGAUUUCUAUCAUUAUUUUUAAACCAUACAUUUUGGUUCUAGUAAAAUGUAUCAAGAUGUGAAGGAAUUUUAUUAGUGGGAAGAGAUGAAGAAAGACAUAGUGGCUUUUGUUUCCAAAUGUUUAGUAUGACGUGGAUUGAAGGAAAAUCACUAAGAUCUAGAAGAGCUAGAUCAAUUUUUCGAGAUAUCACUAUGGAAGUUGGAAAGUAUUGUGGUGAAUCUGGUGACAAGUUUUCUUAGGAUCAAAGGUUAGGAUUCUGUUUAGGUAAUCAUGGACCGGUUGACUAAGUUUGCAUACUUUUUACAAGUGAACACUACUUAAACCGCAACUCAAUAUGCUAUGUUUUAUUCGGAAGAGAUUAUUUAUUUGCAUAGUGUACCCUUAGUUGUGAAUUUAUAUUGAGGGGCUCAAUUCAUUGCACAAUUUUGGAGGUGUUUUGUUUAGGUUUGCUUGAGGACUCACUUGAACUUAGUACUGUUUUUAUACUCAAGCUAUUGCUUAGACAAGUAUGAGGGGGACUAUUAAGAGCUUGGAGGAUAUGCUUGGAGUUUAUGUUGUAGAACAAAGAGGGAGUUCAGAUCAGAAGUUGUCCUUGUUGGAAUUUGCUUAUAAUAACAAUUGUUAGUCUAGCAAUUGGAUUACACUACUUGAGGUCUGGUAUGGUCAGUGAUGCAGGUCACCAAAUAGGUUAAUUUGAAAUUUGACAAGCUAAACUUGUAGGCAUGAAACUUUUGCAGGAUGUAUAAUUAGAUGAACAUUUAUCUUAUGGAACAUCCAGUAGCCAUGGUUGACAUGAGGGUGAAAUGUAAGCAUUCUAAGAGAAUUGAUUCAAUGAAAGUUCUUUGGUGAGGACCACCUGGUGAAGAGAAGUCUUGGGAACGUGGAGUAAUAGUGUCUCUCGCUAUUAGAAACAUAAAGUUAGCUAAAUCUAUAAAAUUCGAGGACGAAUUUUUAUAAGGGGGGAAGAUUGAAACGCACCGUUUUAAUGGUAACUAGGAAAGGUUAAAAAAAAACUAGAUAAUAAUGUUAAUAAACAAAUAGGAAAAAAAAAAACAAAUAAUAACCUAGCCUACCUUUAAACCCGCGUAGCCCCCCCACCUUGAUUACCAAUUCAAAGAAGAAAAAAAUAAAACCGUAACCCUCCCUCUCCAUCACGUCAGUUCUCUCUUUCUCUUUGCAAUGGAAACCUAGCGCCCCUGCCUCCAUCUUUUCUCUUCUUCAGUGUUCUCUUUGUCACCAAAUCCCACCAUAUUGAAUACACAUUCAUAUUGGAAAGCAUUCAUAUUGGAAAGCCUUGGCAUUCACGUGGGAGACCUCUUGGGAUAGUAUUUGGAAACCAGAGUUUGUCGAGAGGAGUACUUGGUCCUUCAAAUUGCAUACUUUAAUUUUACUUAAGAUUUGCCGGGUGAAGAUUCAUUGGGUUGUCGCGAAAUUGCUGAGGACGGUCUGGUUGGCUCGUUGUAGCUAUUUUCAGGCAACUGAGUAGCAGACUGUUGCCAGAUUCAAAUCAUUCGACUUGUUUCCUUGGGCCGGUUGUCACAUUGGUGUCUUUUAUUUAAUCUUGGUUAUCUGCAGCUAUAGGGAGUCCUAGGUGGAUUUAGAUUUGGGAUUGUGACUUUUUAUUUUAUUUUAAGAGUUGGCACUUGAGUGCUCGAGUUGAUUUUAUAUUUUACCUGAAAUACUGAUUAUGGGAGAGCUUAUUGGCAGAUUUUAUCAUUUUGUAACUAUUGAAAUUACAAAUGAGAUUCUGGUGUUUUUAUAAAUUAAGUGUACAAGGUUAUGUUGAAUAAAUUGUUUGGAAAAUGAUUCUGUGAGGAUGAGGCUUGCCAGACUAGGGUAGUAGUCUGUGCGCCGGUCACGGCUUAGGUUUUCGGGUCGUGACAAAGUUGGUAUCAGAGCUUUGGCUGUAGGUCCUAUUAGCUGCAGACAUGAGGUAGUGAUAGAAUCUUUUUAGUAAAUUGUGAACCGCGACACCAUUUACUUUAAAGAUGCUAUUAACACCUCAUGAGAGUCCUAAAGUUGUUUUCAAGUGUGAUUUGAGUUCGCUCCUCAUUCACUGUAUUCCGAGUCAUGUCAUUUAUUCCAUGAAUAUUCUUUGUUUAGUGAGGAUGUCACCUAAAUUAGGAUUUUUAUCAUAAGAUGAGUUAACUUAUUAGGACCCUCUUUUAGGAGGCCGUGGUCGGCGUUGUGGUUUAGGCCAAGGACCAUUGCCUGUAGGCGCUAGUUGUUUGCUGUUGUAGCCCAUAUUAACGUGCUUAUAUUGAGGUUAUGAAAUUCAGGGAUGUUAGAGCUUACGGUUGGUACAAAGGAAUUUUAACAUGAUUUGAAAUAACGUGUUGGAGUGGUUGUUGGACAGCAACAAGGGAGCCCACAUGAGAAAAAAUUUACGAGCGUCAGCUAGAGGUUAGAUAGAGGAAAGUAACAAGAAGUAAGUGCCACUGGACAGAUUGAGGUCAUAUUAACUGGUCACAUACAACUUAAAUCUCCUAAUUUUCUAGUACUAGUGCAAGGCCGAAUCUAUAAAGGUUUAGUAAUGCUUUGGAGAAGCUAUAGAGAGCAUUUAGAUGCUCACCCUUAAGGGCGGUAAAGUUAACAUCAUUCAGUUGGAGGAUUGUAGCACAUGAUUGAUCUAAUGACUUUAUGGUACGUGAGCGAUUGGAUCGCCUCUGAUAACGUGGAUGAAUUUCCUAGAAACUCAUAAAUCGUUUACUUCUAAAUUGUUAGAUAUGACUUGGCUUAUAAGUUUGAACUGCUGGAGAAAAUUGAUAAUAAUUACUCUCUAGAGUAAUCAUAGUAUAUAAUCUUAAAGCUUUAUGUAGAGUCAUAGACUAGAUUUAAGGGGCCCUUACGAUCCACUUUUCCUCAAAUGCAUUUUUGCAUGAGAUCUACACCUUAUUUUGCUUGUCAAAAGAUCAUAAUGUAGCUUUCUUUGGAGAUAGAGAGGUGUAAUAGUAGUGCAGUCAGACAAGUCAUAUUGUGGAGGAUUGUCUAGUGGUGGUUGUGCAACUUCCUUUGGUCAUGAGUAAGUGUUAGUAGAAGCAGAUUUGGCAUCUUCUUUAACCCCUACAACACUUGUAGACAAGCUAUGAGUUCUUUUCGCCGAGGUCGUGCAGUAUCUAAAAAUAAUGGUAAAUGAAACAGUAGUCGAUGUUAACGACAUGUAAGGAGAGUUGAGCUCGAGUCUUUAUUUUGACCCAUCAAGAUGUUUAGGCAACCAAGGAAGUGGCAGUAAGUAUACUCCCUAUAUGAUAUUGAGAUGAUUAUGUUUUGCUUAGUGCUAAAGAUAUAUACUCUUUUAUCAUUGUUGUCAGCUUAGUGAAUUAUCUUCUUUCAUGAAUAAGAUGUUGGUCAUUGCUGAACCUCUUGGAGAGUAUUUGAUAGUUGAGUUUGUGAACCAUUAUUUUUAAGGUAUCCACUGGAGAUCGAUUGAGAGUUGUUGAUAGUCGUUACAGCUUAAGACAUAAUUGAUUUUAAUGUGAUCUUUGGAUAUAGAUUGGAUAAUCUUUUGUCAAUGAUACUUUGGACUGUCAUAAAUAGGGUAGUGAGAUUUAAAGUACAGCGAGAGUAAUUUUUCUCAUUUCCGGGAGAGUGAAGUUGGACACCUCAUAAUCCAGUUUCAGCAUUAAAAGUUAACAAGUUACUACUGAAGAGUUGUAGGUGACAAUUGAUUUUGGUAAGAGAUACUCAAUUAGCGAAAUUGAAACUAGAAGAGAUUUUUGUAGUGUGUUUUGCAGAAUGUAUUCCUUAGAGAAUUUUCGGGUGUACCUUGCAAUAAAGGGAUUGAGUUUUCCAUAUAGUUAGUUUCUAAACCAGAUUUACUGUGAAGAAGAGAGUCAAGACUAUGUAGUUAUGUGUAGAUUACAAGCAAAUGGAGAAUAUGAUGGUAUAAAAAAAAAGACUUAGUGAUCUAGGUACCAUAAAUGGAAUAUUAAGAAAGAGAAUUUCGAAGACCACCUACAAAACAUGUUAUGACUGUAAUGGGUUGUUAGUCAUGCCUUUAGACUUAGUGAUGCCAACGCUGUUUUAAGAAUUCAAUGAACCGCAUCUUUAAGUCAUUCUUUUAGCACUUUGUGAUUGUGUUUAUUGAAGGUAUUCUUGUUCGUUCUGAGGAUAAAGAAGAGCACUAUAAGCUUGCUAAUAGAAGGGUUAUGUUUGGGAUUGUCCAUCCCGAAGGAUUGUCGACUUUUGUGCAGAUUCAUUUUAAUUUGGUUGGUGAUUGGGUUGAUGAUGUUAAACAUGAUCAAGGUCGAGAUUCAUAGGUGGUGAAGAUGGUAGAGGAAUUUUGAAGUGAAAAGGUUCCACAUUUUCGGUAGAAUCUGAUGACAUUUUAUGACUUGAAUGAUAGUUGUGUGUGCCUAAUACAAUAGUUUGGGAAGGAAAAUAUGAGAGGAUUUCUAUCAUUAUUUUUAAACCAUACAUUUUGGUUCUAGUAAAAUGUAUCAAGAUGUGAAGGAAUUUUAUUAGUGGGAAGAGAUGAAGAAAGACAUAGUGGCUUUUGUUUCCAAAUGUUUAGUAUGACGUGGAUUGAAGGAAAAUCACUAAGAUCUAGAAGAGCUAGAUCAAUUUUUCGAGAUAUCACUAUGGAAGUUGGAAAGUAUUGUGGUGAAUCUGGUGACAAGUUUUCUUAGGAUCAAAGGUUAGGAUUCUGUUUAGGUAAUCAUGGACCGGUUGACUAAGUUUGCAUACUUUUUACAAGUGAACACUACUUAAACCGCAACUCAAUAUGCUAUGUUUUAUUCGGAAGAGAUUAUUUAUUUGCAUAGUGUACCCUUAGUUGUGAAUUUAUAUUGAGGGGCUCAAUUCAUUGCACAAUUUUGGAGGUGUUUUGUUUAGGUUUGCUUGAGGACUCACUUGAACUUAGUACUGUUUUUAUACUCAAGCUAUUGCUUAGACAAGUAUGAGGGGGACUAUUAAGAGCUUGGAGGAUAUGCUUGGAGUUUAUGUUGUAGAACAAAGAGGGAGUUCAGAUCAGAAGUUGUCCUUGUUGGAAUUUGCUUAUAAUAACAAUUGUUAGUCUAGCAAUUGGAUUACACUACUUGAGGUCUGGUAUGGUCAGUGAUGCAGGUCACCAAAUAGGUUAAUUUGAAAUUUGACAAGCUAAACUUGUAGGCAUGAAACUUUUGCAGGAUGUAUAAUUAGAUGAACAUUUAUCUUAUGGAACAUCCAGUAGCCAUGGUUGACAUGAGGGUGAAAUGUAAGCAUUCUAAGAGAAUUGAUUCAAUGAAAGUUCUUUGGUGAGGACCACCUGGUGAAGAGAAGUCUUGGGAACGUGGAGUAAUAGUGUCUCUCGCUAUUAGAAACAUAAAGUUAGCUAAAUCUAUAAAAUUCGAGGACGAAUUUUUAUAAGGGGGGAAGAUUGAAACGCACCGUUUUAAUGGUAACUAGGAAAGGUUAAAAAAAAACUAGAUAAUAAUGUUAAUAAACAAAUAGGAAAAAAAAAACAAAUAAUAACCUAGCCUACCUUUAAACCCGCGUAGCCCCCCCACCUUGAUUACCAAUUCAAAGAAGAAAAAAAUAAAACCGUAACCCUCCCUCUCCAUCACGUCAGUUCUCUCUUUCUCUUUGCAAUGGAAACCUAGCGCCCCUGCCUCCAUCUUUUCUCUUCUUCAGUGUUCUCUUUGUCACCAAAUCCCACCAUAUUGAAUACACAUUCAUAUUGGAAAGCAUUCAUAUUGGAAAGCCUUGGCAUUCACGUGGGAGACCUCUUGGGAUAGUAUUUGGAAACCAGAGUUUGUCGAGAGGAGUACUUAGUCCUUCAAAUUGCAUACUUUAAUUUUACUUAAGAUUUGCCGGGUGAAGAUUCAUUGGGUUGUCGCGAAAUUGCUGAGGACGGUCUGGUUGGCUCGUUGUAGCUAUUUUCAGGCAACUGAGUAGCAGACUGUUGCCAGAUUCAGAUCAUUCGACUUGUUUCCUUGGGCCGGUUGUCACAUUGGUGUCUUUUAUUUAAUCUUGGUUAUCUGCAGCUAUAGGGAGUCCUAGGUGGAUUUAGAUUUGGGAUUGUGACUUUUUAUUUUAUUUUAAGAGUUGGCACUUGAGUGCUCGAGUUGAUUUUAUAUUUUACCUGAAAUACUGGUUAUGGGAGAGCUUAUUGGCAGAUUUUAUCAUUUUGUAACUAUUGAAAUUACAAAUGAGAUUCUGGUGUUUUUAUAAAUUAAGUGUACAAGGUUAUGUUGAA